rnacentral:misc_RNA from 1 species
UGCAAAUCGACUCGCUCAUUAUGACCCUUAACUUUACUGGUAUCGAGAUCAAAACAGCUCAUUUUGUUGAUUCUUGGGAGGGAGGUGUCCUGGUAGUGAUUUCUGGUUUUGUGCAAACUAAGGAGUAUGCUGGCACAAGAAAGUUCGUACAAACUAUUUUUCUUGCCCCUCAAGAGAAAGGAUACUUUGUUCUGAACGACGUCUUACACUUGCUUGACGAGGAGCAAGUACAUCCGUA